UUGGUGUGUGGUCCCAUGAAGGAGCAUAGUCACCUGAUGCCAUGAGAGAGAGAGAGGAAGGGAGAGGUGGCCUUUGAAUGUGACAUCGUACAAUUAUUCUAUAGGCGAUGCCGAUAAUUGGUCAUGAUCAUGAGCUAAGGCUUUAGUGAUUGUGGAGAACAAGUUGAGAACACUAUUUGGAAGAACUAUGCUAAUAUAUUGGAGUCAGAGCUAAUUGGUUCAAAGCAAAGAAACUGAAUACUCUGCUGGAGCAUAUUGUGUUGGCUCCUCAAACCGAAAAACUAUCACAAGGCUCCACUGCAUCUGCAUCUGCAUCUGCAUAUAAAUGUUGUGUGAUGUAGGAAAACAGAUGUGGGCAUAUGGUAAAAGAUAUGGAUUGCAAUUUUCUUUAUUUUUUAGCUUAGAACCUAUAAUUUCUUCCUAUUAAUGAUCUGACAGAUGCAUUUUACAGGCUUAAUUAGGGUUCUUACACUGUAGCUAGUUUUAUCUGUAGGAUUGGUGUGCAUGUGGUAUUUUAAGCUAUAUUAACCUUUAGGAAGAAGUAUAAGAAAGGACUCUUUCAUAUGCCUUCUUUUCUGGAUUCAUCUGAGUUAUUUAUAUCAGAAUCUCUUUUGGCAUAAAAUUCCUUUUAGUCUUCUAGAGUAUUUGAUAAUCCUUAGAUCCUUCUAUUAUCAUGUUCAGCCUUAACCUAGCAUUACUUAAUGUCAUUAGGGUACUUAAUAAUUUAAGAAGUACCCUUGUUGGACUGAUGUGAAUGGUCAUGAUAUGGAAUGUGUUUCUACUGCCCG
rnacentral:misc_RNA from 1 species